rnacentral:rRNA from 1 species
CGUAGGGUGCGAGCGUUGUCCGGAAUUACUGGGCGUAAAGGGCGUCGUAGGUGGUUUGUCGCGUCGUCUGUGAAAUUCCGGGGCGUUAACUCCGGGCGGUGCAGGCGAUACGGGCAUAACUUGGGUACUGUAGGGGUAACUGGAAUUCCUGGUGUAGCGGUGAAAUGCGCAGAUAUCAGGAGGAACACCGAUGGCGAAGGCAGGUUACUGGGCAGUUACUGACGCUGAGGAGCGAAAAGCAUGGGUAGCGAACAGGAUU